CCGAGACCCCAGGUCAGGCGGGAAUACCCG
rnacentral:rRNA from 1 species